CCCCGCGCUCCGACAUGCUGUUGCCGUUGAGGAACGUUACGAAAACACGAAGCGCUAGCAGAAGUGGUCCGAGUCAAGCUUCGCCCUCGGCUGAGCGCAUCUUCAGGAUAACUCAGUCUGUGGUUGUGGCAACUGCAUCUAAAAUGCUCUUUCCACCCACGCAUUUAUCUCUUGCUCACAGACUGGAUCAGGAGGAAAUGGGGGGAUAUGACAUCAUGUCCUGCAACCUUCUGCUCAUUGGGGAUUACAGCUCAGUGAAGUUUCCCCUUCACACUUAUAAAGGACCAGCGUGCAUUUCUCAGGUUCUACAUCAAACAAUCUGUCAGGCUUGCUUCCUGAAGUCAGGAUUAAAGGGUAAUUGCCCCUGGGUGAACCAUAGGACCCUCAACAGACCCUCAGUCACAUUAAAGAACCCAAAUCCGACAUUGUCCAUGAAUUUUUCUCUCCCUUAGGGACACUUUUGACUUUUUGUGUGUUGUUAUGUGCCAAAAACAUAAUGGUCAUAAUUCAUUUUUAAAUGCCCAUUUUCCAACCUCUCUUUAUUAAUUACAGUAAAAUAUGCUGUUUCUGUUAUUAUGACUCUAAGACUGAUAUAUAUGUUCUGAUUGGCUGCCUUGUAUUGUAUUGAAUGGGUGGGGCUAAACUGCUGUAGGCUGAAUAGGUUGAUCUAUAUAAAAUAUGUAUUUCGUGACAUUGUAAAAACAGUUAUUAUAUGUUAGUAUAUGAACGUUAUUGACUGGUGAGUGAAUCAAUUGGAAACCAUAAAAAUGCUUACUUCAUAAAA